CCUCCACCACCAGGGCUGCAUGCCUCGACCUUGGAUUUUGAUAUGCUGCUUUCGUGGAGAGCGAUCGACGGAGGGGAAAGGCGCGAUCUUGAUGGGUUUUCUCUGAUCAAUUUUGGAUUUUUAAGAUUCAAGUUCGACCUUUUUCGUUCUUUUUUUGGGUCAAGCCGAUUGAGGGUUUAACUGGGGCCAACUGGGAUCGAGCGAGUACGCAGUGUUCUGUUCUUGCUCCAACAAUCGAUUUCCUAAAAAGUGUUCCUUUGAUCUGAAAAGAUUGAAGGAAGUGGCGUACUGUGAACAAUCUGUUCGUGUUUUUCGUUGUCUUGUUUAAAUUUCCAAUCUUUUUGAUCGUUCAAAGUUGCGCAGCAGCGGAGCAGGGGACAAGAAGAUUUCAGUACCAAGCCCUCCGUCUGUUCGUCGUUUUUUCUCUUUUUGAAAGAAAACUCUCUCUGUUUUCUCUGUUGAAUCCCUCUUUUUCUCACUGUUUGAAGCUUUCGUGGCAUCAAGGGUUUGGCGAACGCUAUGCUGAGGAAGAAAUCGAGAGCAAUCUGUGAAAACAAGCCCUAAUGUCCGAUCCCCACUCUUCCAAUAGCAGCUGCUGCAACAAGUCCAGAGCUUUCUCAAUCUUCUCCUCUCCAAGGCUCUUUGUGGGUGUCUCCUCAAGUAGCUCCUCGGACUCGGAGGGCGCCAUGAGCCCGACCUCCAUACUCGAGACCAAGAGCUUGUCCUCGAUCGGGCGCCAGCUCCUCUCCGAUGCUACCAAAUCCAGUGGCACAGAGAGCAAACUACAUGCUCGAUCAUUUGGCUACACUGACGCCGUCGGGCUCAGCAUCAUCGACGCUCUCAACGAGGAGAAAUCUACCAAAGCUUUCCCCAAUUCGGAGAGCAGAAGGGUGGUGUUUGGGUCGCUUCUCAAGGUCCAAAUUCCUUCCCUUUGCCCUGGCUCAAUGUCGCCGGUCGGAUCCCCGAUAGAGUUUGGCGUCAAGAACAAAGAAUCCCAACUAGCUCUGCUCUCCCCUGCCCAGAGUUCUCUAGGCUUGGAGAUGACGACUUCUUCUUCUUGUAGGGUCUUUGCCAGGAGCAUCUCUAUGAGUGAGAUGGAACUCUCGGAGGACUACACUUGUGUGAUAUCUCAUGGUCCGAAUCCAAGAACUACUCACAUUUUUGACAAUUGUAUAGUGGAGAGCUGUGGGGAUGGGUUCACUGCUUCCAUCGAAACCAACAGCUCUACACCGACUGAUCGCCGAGGCCAUCUUAGCAAUGAUUUCUUGAGCUUCUGCUAUGCAUGCAGGAAGGAUCUUGGCCAAGGGAAUGACACCUUCAUAUACAGUUAGGCGACAAUCAGGCAUUGAUUGACUCAAUAUUGCUGAGGUUUAAUCAUUCCUCUGGAGAGGAUUCCAUUCACCAGGUCCUGUCUAUGCCAUUGUUACUGGGACCUCAUGUCGUCGGUGUUCACUGCUGAGGUCCCCCAAUGGCUGCUUUCGUGAUCCAUGAAAAGUCGAAUCGAUCUGAUGUCUUCAUGCCCUCAAGUUAGGGUUACUUCACCUGGAUUUGCUUGGGAAAAUGACCUAUCAUCUGUCCCCUCUACUGGAGAAUUUGUUACUAUGGGUUUAAAAAAUGAUUCUUACAUUAUGUAACAAUUAAAACAGUGAUUCAGUAACAUGCAGUAGUCGAACUCAGAUAGAUAAAAAGACUUGCGGUGCUUGAAUUUCAUUGAUUUAGUAUGUUUCCUUCAUAUUGUUAUAUGUAAUAUCAGACAUUUGUUUCGUCUCUAUUCUUUCAGUGGUGAGAAAGCAUUCUGCAGCAGUGAGUGCCACAAGAAGGAAGAGUCAUUAAUCGAGAUAUAAUUUGCCCACAAUCUAGUUGAGCAUACCCUUGUUUCGCUGCAAUUCUUUCAGCGGCUAUGGAUUCUGAUCCUACACGAUGAAGCUGAUCUAAAGUGUGCUGUAGCCUUUUUGCUAAAAUUUUGCUUUCAGGGAUGAAAUCUAGUGAGGUUUAGAGAAGAUUUAUGUCGAAGCUAAGGUCGGGCUCAGUAGCUAGCAUAGUUUUUGACAGAGAGAGCUCUAUUUAAGGGUUACUUUCAUCUGUUAAUCAGUCUUGCUGUUACAAUGAAGAAACAAUAAUGAAUUAAAUAUGAUAUUCUCAAUCUUUUUUGUUCUA